rnacentral:rRNA from 1 species
AUUGAACGCUGGCGGCAGGCCUAACACAUGCAAGUCGAGCGGAUGAAGGGAGCUUGCUCCUGGAUUCAGCGGCGGACGGGUGAGUAAUGCCUAGGAAUCUGCCUGGUAGUGGGGGAUAACGUCCGGAAACGGGCGCUAAUACCGCAUACGUCCUGAGGGAGAAAGUGGGGGAUCUUCGGACCUCACGCUAUCAGAUGAGCCUAGGUCGGAUUAGCUAGUUGGUGGGGUAAAGGCCUACCAAGGCGACGAUCCGUAACUGGCCUGAGAGGAUGAUCAGUCACACUGGAACUGAGACACGGUCCAGACUCCUACGGGAGGCAGCAGUGGGGAAUAUUGGACAAUGGGCGAAAGCCUGAUCCAGCCAUGCCGCGUGUGUGAAGAAGGUCUUCGGAUUGUAAGGCACUUUAAGUUGGGAGGAAGGGCAGUAAGUUAAUACCUUGCUGUUUUGACGUUACCAACAGAAUAAGCACCGGCUAACUUCGUG